AUUGAACGCUGGCGGCAUGCUUUACACAUGCAAGUCGAACGGUAACAGGCCUUCGGGUUCUGACGAGUGGCGAACGGGUGAGUAAUGCAUCGGAACGUGCCCAGAGGUGGGGGAUAACGCAGCGAAAGCUGUGCUAAUACCGCAUGUGAUCUGAGGAUGAAAGCGGGGGACCAGGCAGCAAUGUUUGGCCUCGCGCCUUUGGAGCGGCCGAUGUCAGAUUAGGUAGUUGGUGGGGUAAAGGCCUACCAAGCCGACGAUCUGUAGCUGGUCUGAGAGGACGACCAGCCACACUGGGACUGAGACACGGCCCAGACUCCUACGGGAGGCAGCAGUGGGGAAUAUUGGACAAUGGGCGCAAGCCUGAUCCAGCAAUGCCGCGUGCGGGAAGAAGGCCUUCGGGUUGUAAACCGCUUUUGUACGGAACGAAAAGGCUCUGGCUAAUACCUGGGGCUGAUGACGGUACCGUAAGAAUAAGCACCGGCUAACUACGUG
rnacentral:rRNA from 1 species